rnacentral:rRNA from 1 species
GAUGAACGCUGGCGGCGUGCCUAAUACAUGCAAGUCGAGCGAAUGGAUCAAGAGCUUGCUCUUAUGAAGUUAGCGGCGGACGGGUGAGUAACACGUGAGUAACCUGCCCAUAAGACUGGGAUAACUCCGGGAAACCGGGGCUAAUACCGGAUAACAUUUUGAACCGCAUGGUUCGAAAUUGAAAGGCGGCUUCGGCUGUCACUUAUGGAUGGACCCGCGUCGCAUUAGCUAGUUGGUGAGGUAACGGCUCACCAAGGCAACGAUGCGUAGCCGACCUGAGAGGGUGAUCGGCCACACUGGGACUGAGACACGGCCCAGACUCCUACGGGAGGCAGCAGUAGGGAAUCUUCCGCAAUGGACGAAAGUCUGACGGAGCAACGCCGCGUGAGUGAUGAAGGCUUUCGGGUCGUAAAACUCUGUUGUUAGGGAAGAACAAGUGCUAGUUGAAUAAGCUGACACCUUGACGGUACCUAACCAGAAAGCCACGGCUAACUACGUGCCAGCAGCCGCAGUAA